rnacentral:lncRNA from 11 species
AUUCUGAUUCAGAAUUCUCUUGGAUCCAUUAAACCUAAGGCUAGCUUUGCCAGCAUCUUUGCCACAAUGUAAUAAUAACAAAUAGCUCUCUUAUAUAUGAACUGACACAAAUUUGUGGUUGCAGUUGUUUCCCAUUUAUUCUGAUUUUUAGCCACAUCAGACAUUCUGCUAAAAAACCCCGCUCUAAUGAGCAAUGAAGAAUGAAGUCCACUUUUCCCAUCUGCAAAUGCCAGCUUUAUCCAUUCUGGACUUGUCCUCUCGCCCAUAAACAAAGCCAGAUGAGAAGAAUAUUUGUCCUUCUGCAACCCGGUGGGAGUGUGCUGUUCUUCACAAAUUUUGAAAGAUUAUUGGCAGUCAUUCUGAGAUUACAUGUGCAUGUCCCUUAAGUACUCUUGAAUGUAGUUCUGAGUGACUGAAAGUAGAACAAGGACAUACUCUCAAGGCCCAAAUAUUUUGGAUGGGUUACAGUUGCCUCACCCCACUACAUUCUUGGUUUCAGGUGAGAUUAUUCCUCAGCACCUCUUAGGGAUGUUAAGGAAUGAACCUGACACCCUCCAUACACAAAGCAAAUGUUUACACAUUUUCCAAAUUCCAAGGGAAAUUAAAACCUGAAGUAGGAGUGUUACAUUAUCCACAGGGAAGCAAACUAUAGGUGAAGAGCAAAACAAACAGAAGUAGAAACAGUACCUGAAAAGCUAUGUAAAAAGAUGAAAGAAUCUUGAAGAAUCCAUUGUUAUUAGGGCUGGGCAUUGAUC